UGAUGCUCCUAUGGUUCUCUUGAAGCUCCCUGAAUCCUUGAACAGAGGUCUCGAGAUUAAUCGAUGAUAUGCUGAUAUUCUCUAAAAUAACGCACUAUUGACGAAUCCUUUGGCAGAACGGAUCUAUGCUGGUGAAGCUGGUCUCUUGCUCUAACGCUGAUUGUGGUAAUCAAACGUCAAUCUAGUGUUGCUGGAAAUGAAGUCCACUUUUCUAAGAAAGCGAAGACAGCUUUUCUAUCAAGUGAUAUCUCUCUUCUCUUAACCUUCUUAGUCUCUCUCCAGAACUCUUUCU
rnacentral:lncRNA from 1 species